AGAAUCAACGCUGGCGGCGUGCCUAACACAUGCAAGUCGAACGAGAAAGGGGAGCAAUCCCUGAGUAAAGUGGCGCACGGGUGAGUAACACGUGACUAACCUACCCUGGAGUGGGGGGAUAACUGAGGGAAACCUUAGCUAAUACCGCAUAAUACCCACGGGUCAAAGGAGCAAUUCGCUCCAGGAGGGGGUCGCGGCCGAUUAGUUAGUUGGCGGGGUAAUGGCCCACCAAGACGAUGAUCGGUAUCCGGCCUGAGAGGGCGCACGGACACACUGGAACUGAAACACGGUCCAGACUCCUACGGGAGGCAGCAGUGGGGAAUUUUGCGCAAUGGGGGAACCCUGACGCAGCAACGCCGCGUGGAGGAUGAAGUACUUCGGUACGUAAACUCCUUUCGAUCGGGACGAUUAUGACGGUACCGAGAGAAGAAGCCCCGGCUAACUUCGUGCCAGCAGCCGC
rnacentral:rRNA from 1 species